rnacentral:sRNA from 1 species
ACCAUGACUCAUAUAAAUUGUUAAGAAGA